rnacentral:rRNA from 1 species
CGUGUAGGCGGUUUUUUAAGUCUGAUGUGAAAGCCCUGGGCUCAACCUGGGAAGUGCAUUGGAAACUGGGAGACUUGAAUACGGGAGAGGGCAGUGGAAUUCCUGGUGUAGGAGUGAAAUCCGUAGAUAUCAGGAGGAACACCGGUGGCGAAGGCGGCUGCCUGGACCGAUAUUGACGCUGAGACGCGAAAGCGUGGGGAGCAAACA